rnacentral:rRNA from 1 species
ACACGUAGGGGGCGAGCGUUGUCCGGAUUUAUUGGGCGUAAAGAGCUCGUAGGCGGUUUCGUAAGUCGGGUGUGAAAACUCCAGGCUCAACCUGGAGACGCCACCCGAUACUGCGAUGACUAGAGUCCGGUAGGGGAGCGUGGAAUUCCUGGUGUAGCGGUGAAAUGCGCAGAUAUCAGGAGGAACACCGGCGGCGAAGGCAGCGCUCUGGGCCGGUACUGACGCUGAGGAGCGAAAGCGUGGGGAGCGAACAGGAUUAGAUACCCUGGUAGUCCACGCCGUAAACGUUGGGCACUAGGUGUGGGAUCUUUCCAACGGAUUCCGUGCCGUAGCUAACGCAUUAAGUGCCCCGCCUGGGGAGUACGGCCGCAAGGCUAAA